rnacentral:rRNA from 1 species
UACGGAAGGCAGCAGUGGGGAAUAUUGCACAAUGGGCGCAAGCCUGAUGCAGCCAUGCCGCGUGUAUGAAAAAGGCCUUCGGGUUGUAAAGUACUUUCAGUCGUGAGGAAGGUGUUAAGGUUAAUAACCUUAGCAAUUGACGUUAGCGACAGAAGAAGCACCGGCUAACUCCGUGCCAGCAGCCGCGGUAAUACGGAGGGUGCGAGCGUUAAUCGGAAUUACUGGGCGUAAAGGGCACGCAGGCGGUUAAUUAAGUUGGAUGUGAAAUCCCCGGGCUUAACCUGGGAAUGGCAUUCAAGACUGGUUAGCUAGAGUCUUGUAGAGGGGGUAGAAUUCCAUGUGUAGCGGUGAAAUGCGUAGAGAUGUGGAGGAAUACCGGUGGGCGAAGGCGGCCCCUGGGACAAAGACUGACGCUCAUGUGCGAAAGCGUGGGGAGCAAACAGGGAUUAGAUACC